UUUGUUGCCUAAUUUCUCUGGCUAUACCUUCCAGUAAAACGUUGAAUACAAGUGGCAAAAGUGGUUGUCCUUGUUUGUUUUGUGAAAAUUAUAAAAGGAAGCUCUUUUAGAAUGGAGUCAGGGGCGAGGGCAGCAGGGGAGGCUCACAGCCUACCACGUGUCCUCAAGUCCAGAUCCGACAGGAAGACGGCGGGCCUCUCACGAGGAUGCCGCUUUCUUUACUACUUUCCUACCGGAGCAAGAGGAAGGAAGGUCCACCCCUCCUCGGCCCCAUCCCCACUGCAGCCCAGCCCCGAAGUCACAGCUCAGCCAAUGAGAAACCACUGCACUUCCCACUUCCAGUUUAUUCCAAUGGACUGUUUGUUUCUGGCAGCCGCUCCCAGCUCCUCCCUUUCCUGCAGGACUCGGUGUGCUUUGCUUUUGUUCUGCAGAACAACAGCUUUCUGCUGUUCCCAAAUAAAGCCGUUUUGCAGGAGACCAGCAUACCUUGACUUUGCCAUUGUGAAGAAACAGAGCCCAGUUAUGGCCAUCUUGACUACUGGAAACGAGGAACUCCUUCACAUACAUGCUGCAUCCAACACUCAAAGCUAUUCUGGCUAGACACAUGUUAAAAUGGAAUUCAUGAAAGCAGAAAACACCAGGAGGAAGAAUGGAACAAGGGACAUUAACUCUGGGCAGACGUGAAAGCCAAUCCUAAAUUUAUAUGGAAAUGCAAGGGACAGAGACAGCCAAAACAAUCCGGAAAAGAAGAACAAAGCUGUGCGAUCCACACGUGCCACUUUCAAAACUUACUUCAAAACUACAGCAAUCGUAAACUGUGGUACUGGCAUAGGGGUAGACAUGUAAGUCAAUGUUUUUGAAUUUACAGUGAGAAAUAAACCCAUAGAUUUAUGAAUAGUUGAUAUUCAACAAGG